CGAAUGCUGACAUAAGUAACGAUAAAGCGGGUGAAAAGCCCGCUCGCCGGAAGACCAAGGGUUCCUGUCCAACGUUAAUCGGGGCAGGGUGAGUCGACCCCUAAGGCGAGGCCGAAAGGCGUAGUCGAUGGGAAACAGGUUAAUAUUCCUGUACUUGGUGUUACUGCGAAGGGGGGACGGAGAAGGCUAUGUUGGCCGGGCGACGGUUGUCCCGGUUUAAGCGUGUAGGCUGGUUUUCCAGGCAAAUCCGGAAAAUCAAGGCUGAGGCGUGAUGACGAGGCACUACGGUGCUGAAGCAACAAAUGCCCUGCUUCCAGGAAAAGCCUCUAAGCAUCAGGUAACAUCAAAUCGUACCCCAAACCGACACAGGUGGUCAGGUAGAGAAUACCAAGGCGCUUGAGAGAACUCGGGUGAAGGAACUAGGCAAAAUGGUGCCGUAACUUCGGGAGAAGGCACGCUGAUAUGUAGGUGAAGUCCCUUGCGGAUGGAGCUGAAAUCAGUCGAAGAUACCAGCUGGCUGCAACUGUUUAUUAAAAACACAGCACUGUGCAAACACGAAAGUGGACGUAUACGGUGUGACGCCUGCCCGGUGCCGGAAGGUUAAUUGAUGGGGUUAGCGGUAACGCGAAGCUCUUGAUCGAAGCCCCGGUAAACGGCGGCCGUAACUAUAACGGUCCUAAGGUAGCGAAAUUCCUUGUCGGGUAAGUUCCGACCUGCACGAAUGGCGUAAUGAUGGCCAGGCUGUCUCCACCCGAGACUCAGUGAAAUUGAACUCGCUGUGAAGAUGCAGUGUACCCGCGGCAAGACGGAAAGACCCCGUGAACCUUUACUAUAGCUUGACACUGAACAUUGAGCCUUGAUGUGUAGGAUAGGUGGGAGGCUUUGAAGUGUGGACGCCAGUCUGCAUGGAGCCGACCUUGAAAUACCACCCUUUAAUGUUUGAUGUUCUAACGUUGGCCCCUGAUCGGGGUUGCGGACAGUGUCUGGUGGGUAGUUUGACUGGGGCGGUCUCCUCCUAAAGAGUAACGGAGGAGCACGAAGGUUGGCUAAUCCUGGUCGGACAUCAGGAGGUUAGUGCAAUGGCAUAAGCCAGCUUGACUGCGAGCGUGACGGCGCGAGCAGGUGCGAAAGCAGGUCAUAGUGAUCCGGUGGUUCUGAAUGGAAGGGCCAUCGCUCAACGGAUAAAAGGUACUCCGGGGAUAACAGGCUGAUACCGCCCAAGAGUUCAUAUCGACGGCGGUGUUUGGCACCUCGAUGUCGGCUCAUCACAUCCUGGGGCUGAAGUAGGUCCCAAGGGUAUGGCUGUUCGCCAUUUAAAGUGGUACGCGAGCUGGGUUUAGAACGUCGUGAGACAGUUCGGUCCCUAUCUGCCGUGGGCGCUGGAGAACUGAGGGGGGCUGCUCCUAGUACGAGAGGACCGGAGUGGACGCAUCACUGGUGUUCGGGUUGUCAUGCCAAUGGCACUGCCCGGUAGCUAAAUGCGGAAGAGAUAAGUGCUGAAAGCAUCUAAGCACGAAACUUGCCCCGAGAUGAGUUCUCCCUGACCCUUUAAGGGUCCUGAAGGAACGUUGAAGACGACGACGUUGAUAGGCCGGGUGUGUAAGCGCAGCGAUGCGUUGAGCUAACCGGUACUAAUGAACCGUGAGGCUUAACCUU
rnacentral:rRNA from 1 species